CUGGUGUUACGCUCAAGAGGCUUGACCAGCUGAGUAGGGGCGUCAUAGUCAGGGAUGUUGAGCCAAAGGCCAUGGGAGAUGGCAGUGGGCACUCCUCCUCGCAAGCUAAAUGGGUAACCUCUCACAAAAUCUGCCCCUUCUCUGAAUGGAUCAUACAGGGUGUUGAAGAAGAAGGGUGUCGAUGGGGUUAGCAAAUUCUGUAUGUGCUGUGCCAGCGCAUUUAUCUCCUUCGCACUUGGAUCCUUAGCAACAAAGCAAUCGUCAUCGAU
rnacentral:misc_RNA from 1 species